rnacentral:rRNA from 1 species
UACGGGGGGUGCGAGCGUUGUCCGGAAUCACUGGGCGUAAAGGGCGCGUAGGUGGUUUGAUAAGGGUGUGGUGAAAGUCCGGGGCUCACCCCCGGAUCUGCCGUGCCGACUGUCAAACUCGAGGGCUGUAGAGGCAGGCGGAAGUCCGGGUGUAGCGGUGGAAGGCGUAGAGAUCCGGAGGAAGACCGGUGGCGAAGGCGGCCUGCUGGGCAGUGGCUGACACUGAGGCGCGACAGCGUGGGGAGCAAACAGG